rnacentral:rRNA from 1 species
CCUACGGGAGGCAGCAGUGAGGAAUAUUGGUCAAUGGGCUCGAGCCUGAACCAGCCAAGUCGCGUGAAGGAUGACUGCCCUACGGGUUGUAAACUUCUUUUAUCAAGGAAUAAAGUGAGCCACGUGUGCCUUUUUUUAUGUACUUUAUGAAUAAGGCUCGGCUAACUCCGUGCCAGCAGCCGGGGUAAUUCGGAGGAUCCGAGCGUUAUCCCGAUUUAUUGGGGUUAAAGGGAGCGGUAAGGGGUUUUUAAGUCAGUUGGGAAAGUUUGCGGCUCAACCGUAAAAUUGCAAUUGAUACUGGCAGCCUUGAGUACAGUUGAGGUAGGCGGAAUGCGUGGUGUAGCGGUGAAAUGCUUAGAUAUCACGAAGAACUCCGAUUGCGAAGGCAGCUUACCAACCUGCCACUGACAUUGAUGCUCGAAAGUGUGGGUAUCAAACAGGAUUAGAUACCCGAGUAGUC